UUGAGUGAAUAACAACUAUGUUAGAGAUUUUAGCAUGAAGUGAGUAAAUGUGGAAGAAAAAGUACCGACGGAAGGAGAUCUAGAGCUUUCGACUACUUGAACUCCGAUGACUUUUCGAGCAAAAUUCUCUCCAGGUCCCCGUGGUUUCAGCUCAGUUUUCUCAAAGUUCUAAUGAUGAACUCUGAGUAAACUUCGGGAGUAUUGUGCUUUGGUGAUUGGGUGUGAGUGAAAUCUCAGCAGAGUAACGGUGCGGAAAUUUCAGAUCUUUCAUUAGUGAUUCAGUGCCUCCUUUUUAUAGGGUCGAGUACGAGGUUCAAUCAUUUUCAUCCUUAAUGAGCUGGCGAAUUUUUGGAAGAAUCAUUCCGUUAGCUAGCAGGAUCUCUUCCAGAUUUGGUGGUCCUCCAAAUUGAUGUGGUCCCUCAAAUGAAAGGAUAAGGUUUUGUCUGUAGUGAAUCUAUGUUUUGCUUUUCUUGGUCUUCCACCAAUGGUUCAUUAUGACUUGUGCAUCACGCUUUUGGAAUGGCUAGCAAGGUCGUUCCAUAUUAUGGUUGGAACAUCGUAUCGGUUUUGUUCCUAAUGCGCAUUGUCAUCUUGUUUGUCCCCUGAGGUGCUUUUCAUGACAGAGAUACCUCCCCAUUUCCCAUUUAUGCACUGCUAUUAAUGUCUAUGAUAAUACACAUCUCGCAGCAAGUUCAUGAUCAUGGUAAGUCUUUGUUGUUGAUGCAAAGUCUACUCGUGGUUGAACGUUUUGGCCUGCCGAGACCUGCUGUAGUGGGGAUGCUUGGUAUAACACACUGCCUUGGGAUUGGUUGCGGACUUUAGAUAGCGGACUUGAAAAUUCAU